rnacentral:rRNA from 1 species
GACGGAAGGUGCAAGCGUUGCUCGGAAUCACUGGGCGUAAAGGGUGCGUAGGCGGCCGUGCAAGUCUGGCGUGAAAGCCCCGGGCUCAGCCCGGGAAGUGCGCUCGAAACUGCGCGGCUCGAGUGCCGGAGGGGAGAGUGGAAUUCCUGGUGUAGCGGUGAAAUGCGUAGAUAUCAGGAGGAACACCAAUGGCGAAGGCAGCUCGCUGGGACGGUACUGACGCUGAGACGCGAAAGCGUGGGGAGCAAACAGG